UACGUAGGGUGCGAGCGUUGUCCGGAAUUAUUGGGCGUAAAGAGCUCGUAGGCGGUCUGUCGCGUCUGCUGUGAAAACCCGAGGCUCAACCUCGGGCCUGCAGUGGGUACGGGCAGACUAGAGUGCGGUAGGGGAGAAUGGAAUUCCUGGUGUAGCGGUGAAAUGCGCAGAUAUCAGGAGGAACACCAAUGGCGAAGGCGGCUCUCUGGGACGGUACUGACGCUGAGACGCGAAAGCGUGGGGAGCGAACAGG
rnacentral:rRNA from 1 species